rnacentral:rRNA from 1 species
CCCUUAGAUGUCCUGGGCCGCACGCGCGUUACACUGAUGCAUUCAACGAGCUUAUAACCUUGGCCGAGAGGCCUGGGCAAUCUUGUUAACGUGCAUCGUGAUAGGGAUAGAUUAUUGAAAUUAUUAAUCGUGAACGAGGAAUUCCUAGUAAACGCAGAUCAUCAAUCUGCAUUGAUUACGUCCCUGCCCUUUGUACACACCGCCCGUCGCACCUACCGAUUGGAUGGUCCGGUGAAGCCUCGGGAUUGUGGUUCUUGCCGCUUUAUUGUGGCGUGACCGCGAGAACUUGUCUAAACCUUAUCAUCUAGAGGAAGGUGAAGUCGUAACA